rnacentral:tRNA from 1 species
CGUCAGGUAGCUCAGUGGUCUAGAGCCCGGCAAGUGAAAGACCCGGGUUCGAUUCCCGGUCUAGCGA